UCUUGUAGUGUCUCCCGAGACCGGGCAAG
rnacentral:sRNA from 1 species